rnacentral:rRNA from 1 species
AACCGUGUGAAGAACCGGUUGACCGUGUCGCCUCGACAUAUAUUUAAAACCACCCCUGGAAAGCAUCUUCAACCACCAACGUCGAGGUAACUGCUACUACAGGUGGAGGAACCGGUCGAGGAGGUUGGACCCUCGUAGAUCGGGGUACAAGAGCUUCUGCUGCAGUGGCCGGUUUCCCUGUUGGAAGAGGAGGUGUUUGUCGAGCUUAGGAGGGAACGGUACGAAGAGAAAGUCCUCCGUCUUCUCGAGUCACAGACAGUGGACUUGGUAGUUUAUUCGCAAAGCAGGAGUAAAACGACUUUUGAGUCAAACGUAACAUGGUAAAGAAAUCAUUGAUGUGUACGGUAAGCACCUACUAAUUAGCACGCAACGUUGAAAGUCUCCACCUAUCUUUCUUUUUUUUUGUCUUUUUUCUCAUUUUGUAUGAGGAUGAUGUAUUCUAACCUGGUUCCUGCUCGCCUGCUGUUUGGAUGGUCAACGGUGUUUUCCCAGCGGUGGUUUCUAGAGCCUCUACUACACCCGUAUGAUUUGACGUGUACGGGAAGCGGCGUCAUGUCAUUAUU